AAAAAUUUAGUUAAUUCAUAACAUUAGCUUGUCAAGCUAAAAUUAUUAAUAAUUUAAUAAUUUUUA
rnacentral:tRNA from 1 species